GACGAACGCUGGCGGCGUGCUUAACACAUGCAAGUCGAACGGAAAGGCCCUGCUUUUGUGGGGUGCUCGAGUGGCGAACGGGUGAGUAACACGUGAGUAACCUGCCCUUGACUUUGGGAUAACUUCAGGAAACUGGGGCUAAUACCGGAUCGGAGCUCCUGCUGCAUGGUGGGGGUUGGAAAGUUUCGGCGGUUGGGGAUGGACUCGCGGCUUAUCAGCUUGUUGGUGGGGUAGUGGCUUACCAAGGCUUUGACGGGUCGCCGGCCUGAGAGGGUGACCGGCCACAUUGGGACUGAGAGACGCCCCAGACGGGUACGGGGGGCAGCAGUGGGGAAUAUUGCACAAUGGGCGGAAGCCGGAUGCAGCAACGCCGCGGGCGGGAUGACGGCCUUCGGGUUGUAAACCGCUUUCGCCUGUGACGAAGCGUGAGUGACGGUAAUGGGUAAAGAAGCACCGGCUAACUACGUG
rnacentral:rRNA from 1 species